CGUUCUAUGGCCGAAUUGGUAAAGGCAUCGCCGAUCACAAGCGAGGUUGCGGGUUCGAGUCCCGCUGGAACGA
rnacentral:tRNA from 1 species